rnacentral:lncRNA from 1 species
UAAGGUGACUAUAAAAUUUUAAUAUUUAGUCAUUAAUGCAACACGAGUAUAAAGAUAGUCCAUAUUACAUAUAGUUAACACAAAUAUGAUUUAGUCCUAUCCUACUCGCUACUCAAGCAUUAGGGAGCUCACUCAUGUGAUAUGGUCAAUCAAAAAGCUUGUUGACAUUAUUACGUGCCUAAUUAUAUGAUUAUGUUCAUGACCAUUUCAUAAGAAAAUAAAAAUUUUUAUUUCAUAAAUGAUCAAUACACAUAAACAUAUGUCCAUUACGUAU